UACGUAGGUGACAAGCGUUGUCCGGAUUUACUGGGCGUAAAGGGCGUGCAGGCGGUCUUGCAAGUCCGAUGUGAAAGCCCCGGGCUCAACCCGGGAAGUGCAUCGGAAACCGCGAGACUUGAGUACGGGAGAGGGCAGUGGAAUUCCUGGAGUAGGGGUGAAAUCCGUAGAUAUCAGGAAGAACACCAGUGGCGAAGGCGGCUCACUGGCCCGAUACUGACGCUGAGGCACGAAAGCGUGGGGAGCAAACAGG
rnacentral:rRNA from 1 species